rnacentral:rRNA from 1 species
GAUGAACGCUGGCGGCGUGCUUAAUACAUGCAAGUCGAGCGAACGGACGAGAAGCUUGCUUCUCUGAUGUUAGCGGCGGACGGGUGAGUAACACGUGGAUAACCUACCUAUAAGACUGGGAUAACUUCGGGAAACCGGAGCUAAUACCGGAUAAUAUUUUGAACCGCAUGGUUCAAAGGUGAAAGACGGUCUUGCUGUCACUUAUAGAUGGAUCCGCGCUGCAUUAGCUAGUUGGUAAGGUAACGGCUUACCAAGGCAACGAUGCAUAGCCGACCUGAGAGGGUGAUCGGCCACACUGGAACUGAGACACGGUCCAGACUCCUACGGGAGGCAGCAGUAGGGAAUCUUCCGCAAUGGGCGAAAGCCUGACGGAGCAACGCCGCGUGAGUGAUGAAGGUCUUCGGAUCGUAAAACUCUGUUAUUAGGGAAGAACAUAUGUGUAAGUAACUGUGCACAUCUUGACGGUACCUAAUCAGAAAGCCACGGCUAACUACGUG